rnacentral:rRNA from 1 species
CCUACGGGAGGCUGCAGUGGGGAAUAUUGGGCAAUGGGCGCAAGCCUGACCCAGCAACGCCGCGUGAAGGAAGAAGGCUUUCGGGUUGUAAACUUCUUUUAAGAGGGAAGAGCAGAAGACGGUACCUCUUGAAUAAGCCACGGCUAACUACGUGCCAGCAGCCGCGGUAAUACGUAGGUGGCAAGCGUUGUCCGGAUUUACUGGGGGUAAAGGGCGUGCAGCCGGGAAGACAAGUCAGAUGUGAAAUCCCGCGGCUCAACCGCGGAACUGCAUUUGAAACUGUUUUUCUUGAGUACCGGAGAGGUCAUCGGAAUUCCUUGUGUAGCGGUGAAAUGCGUAGAUAUAAGGAAGAACACCAGUGGCGAAGGCGGAUGACUGGACGGCAACUGACGGUGAGGCGCGAAAGCGUGGGGAGCAAACAGGAUUAGAUACCCUAGUAGUC